CUGGGGCUACUAUAUGGGGCAAGACACCGCCUGCUGCAAGUAGAUGAGUCACCAGCAAUGGUGGGCCCUGGGGGAGGGCCUAAUAGGGCAGGAGACGGUAGUGGGGGAAAAGCCUCCUUAAUGAAUGCCCAGCCCCCUCCCCAGGGUUUGGGAAUGACUCAUGGCUGGCCCCCCGAGUUCAAUAGGCUGAGGCGAGACCUCCGUGGGCCCCAUAACCCAA
rnacentral:sRNA from 1 species